UACGAAGGGGGCUAGCGUUGCUCGGAAUUACUGGGCGUAAAGCGCACGUAGGCGGCUUUCUAAGUCGGGGGUGAAAUCCUGGAGCUCAACUCCAGAACUGCCUUCGAUACUGGAAGCUCGAGUCCGGGAGAGGUGAGUGGAACUGCGAGUGUAGAGGUGAAAUUCGUAGAUAUUCGCAAGAACACCAGUGGCGAAGGCGGCUCACUGGCCCGGUACUGACGCUGAGGUGCGAAAGCGUGGGGAGCCAAACAGGG
rnacentral:rRNA from 1 species